rnacentral:tRNA from 1 species
GGUAGUUUACUCAAGCUUGGUUAAAGGGUCUUGGUUUAGAACCAAGGGAUAUAGUUCUACACAGGUUCAAAUCCUGUAACUACCA